rnacentral:rRNA from 1 species
GACGAACGCUGGCGGCGUGCUUAAUACAUGCAAGUCGAGCGAGGUCCAUCUGGUGGCAACACCAGUGAAGACCUAGCGGCGAACGGGUGAGUAACACGUGAGCAACCUGCCCCGAAGACCGGGAUAACAGUGGGAAACCGCUGCUAAUACCGGAUGUCCUUCUAUGGUCGCAUGGCCUAAGAAGGAAACGGCUGAGCCUUAAUAAGCUCAGUCCGCUUCGGGAGGGGCUCGCGGGCUAUCAGCUUGUUGGUGAGGUAACGGCUCACCAAGGCUACGA